GACGAACGCUGGCGGCGUGCUUAACACAUGCAAGUCGAACGGAAAGGCCCUGCUUUUGUGGUGUUCUCGAGUGGCGAACGGGUGAGUAACACGUGAGUAACCUGCCCUUGACUUUGGGAUAACUUCAGGAAACUGGGGCUAAUACCGGAUAGGAGCUCCUGCUGCAUGGUGGGGGUUGGAAAGUUUCGGCGGUUGGGGAUGGACUCGCGGCUUAUCAGCUUGUUGGUGGGGUAGUGGCUUACCAAGGCUUUGACGGGUAGCCGGCCUGAGAGGGUGACCGGCCACAUUGGGACUGAGAUACGGCCCAGACUCCUACGGGAGGCAGCAGUGGGGAAUAUUGCACAAUGGGAGGAAGCCUGAUGCAGAAACGCCGCGUGCGGGAUGACGGCCUUCGGGUUGUAAACCGCUUUCGCCUGUGACGAAGCGUGAGUGACGGUAAUGGGUAAAGAAGCACCGGCUAACUACGUG
rnacentral:rRNA from 1 species